GAUGAACGCUGGCGGCGUGCCUAAUACAUGCAAGUCGAGCGAACGGACGAGAAGCUUGCUUCUCUGAUGUUAGCGGCGGACGGGUGAGUAACACGUGUAUAACCUACCUAUAAGACUGGGAUAACUUCGGGAAACCGGAGCUAAUACCGGAUAAUAUUUUGAACCGCAUGGUUCAAAAGUGAAAGACGGUCUUGCUGUCACUUAUAGAUGGAUCCGCGCUGCAUUAGCUAGUUGGUAAGGUAACGGCUUACCAAGGCAACGAUGCAUAGCCGACCUGAGAGGGUGAUCGGCCACACGGGAACUGAGACACGGUCAAGCCUCCUACGGGAGGCAGCAGUAGGGAAUCUUCCGCAAUGGGCGAAAGCCUGACGGAGCAACGCCGCGUGAGUGAUGAAGGUCUUCGGAUCGUAAAACUCUAUUAUUAGGGAAGAACAUAUGUGUAAGUAACUGUGCACAUCUUGACGGUACCUAAUCAGAAAGCCACGGCUAACUACGUG
rnacentral:rRNA from 1 species